UUCAGGACAUUUUACUGUUUUGUGUAGUUUCAAUUUGUGCCAGUAGGAGGCGCGCUCGCACUUGUGUGUACAUGGAGCAAGGUUAUAGUGAGAGAAGAAGCGAUCUCAGCAGAGAGGGAAAGGCCUCAAGCUGUUAGCACAAGCAAAGAAAGCUAACUAGCGGAGUUAAUGGAAGAAAACCAAAGCGAAUUUCCUCAGUCGGUACUCAGCCAACGAGGUUAGUUUAUUUCUUAGUAUUUAUGUGACUGUCAAUUGUACUUAUGUAUUUCGUUUCUUUAAUUGUACUUUUGUAUGUCUUUCUUUAGUUUUCACGGUGUGUGUUUGCAUUCUCAACAAGAGAGAAUCAAAUAAAUUCAUCAGUUGAGGAAACCACUUGUGCCUGUAGUACUUGAGGGAGUUACAGUGAAAACUCGGACUGUCCAUCAGCGCGAGUGGAGAUCGACGUCGACGAAGCCUCCUGGGCGCCAGGACAUCGCACAUCGAGGCGGCGUGAUCAGAAGAGCACUGCGUGACCAGGACGUGCAGGGAGCGGCGCAGCGACCAUUUUCACCACCAGAGGGCAUCGGUUUACAGUUUGAUAAGUACACAUCAAGUCAAGACCAUAAAAAGUUGGACACUCAUAAAUUAAGAGUUAACCCAAGCAAGAUGGUAAUUUAAAAGUGACAUUUUAUGCUGUUUUCCAAGGCUUCUCUGUCGAGUGUUAGUUUUCAAGUUAAGUAUUUAAGCACAAACAAGCUGUACUUUGAUUUUAUAUUUGUACAUUUGUGACAGUAAUGUGAACACUGCAUUUCAUUUGUGAGUUUAAAGAGUUCAAAGAUACACUAAUUGCAUUUGGUAAAAUUUAAGUUGACGUAAAGACACUCAAGAUAUAUUUCAGUGGUACAAAAGGUUCAUAAUUUAUUUUACAAUUUAAAAGGAUCUAUCUUAGUGAUAUAAAAAAGGGUCAUAAGUUAUUUUACAAGUUAAAGAAUAUUUCAGUGACACAAGAAAAGGUCACAAGUUAUUUUGCAAGUUAGAUUAUUUAGUUUAAAACAGCAAAGUACAGUUUAAAGAGACAUUUAGUUAUAUAAGAUAUUCACUAAUUUAGUGGUGCUUUAAGUUUAGUGAUUAUGUGCUAAAAUGAGUGAGCCUAGUGAGUUCUCAGAUCAGGUUGAGGUUAUUGUAGGGACUGAAGAGCCAGAAGAAAUGCAAGCUAUGGAUUCUGGUGAAGAAAAUCAAACCACCACUCUACCAAGAAGAAGUGAGAGGCACAAAACACUCACAGAAAAAGGAAAAGAGAUGCAAGAGGAGAAAGUAAAGUCACUGCAGCAAAGAUUCAACUACAAUUAUGAGAAAUGGAGAAGAUGUGCAAGAUCAUCCAAGCUACCACUUUCAUCUUCUGAGAAGUUAAGUGAACACCUUCUUGAUGAUAUUACCAAUGAUAUUUCAGGAAUGCUUGAAGAUGUCCGGAAUGUUUAUGAUGAGUUACGCAAACUCAUUUCACCCAGUCAAGACAUCCGACGCAAAAUUGAUCUUUGUGUGGAGAUCUCAAGGGUCAUCAUAGACAAAGUUCGACGUCGUAUGGAAGGAAUUGAAAUAGAAGAGGAACAAGACUGGCCAGAUGCAGGUUCUCUGUUUCAGUCAACAGUAACAAGUAAGUCGAGCUGUUCUGGCACAACCAACCGAUCUUCACAUUCAAGCAGAUCCUCUCUGAAGCACCAAGAAGCUGCAGCAGAUGCAGCAGUAAGCCAAGCUGUUCUCACAGUCUUACAAGAACAAGAAAAAGAGCAACAAGAGAUUGAUAGACUCGAAACUGAAGUCAGAAAGAAGGCUGCAGAAAAGGAAAUGCUAGCUAAUAAGUUACGCUUAGAAAGAGAAGCAGAAGAAAUCAAAUUGAGAAUGCAAAGAGAAGCUCAAGAAGCAAAGUUCAAAGCUCAACAAGAAGAAGAGUAUGAAGCUCUGCAAAGAACGCUUGAUGAAAGGAAAAGAAGGUUACAGCACUUAGAGAAAGUAAAGGAUCUGAAAGCAGCACAAGCCAGAAUGCAAGUGUAUGAUCAAGCAAGUGUAACUGAGGAACAAGUCGAUCUUACAAAGUCAAACACAGAAGUUAAGCAUGUAAGUUUCCCUCCUCAUCAAGAACGGGUCAUUCACAAUGCUAUGAGUACCUCGCCAAGUGACGGUGCCACAGAUCUGGUUAAAGUGCUAGCGGCUGCUAUGAGUGCUAGCCGUAUUCCUGUUCCUGAGCCUACAGUGUUCAGUGGAGAUCCAUUAAGGUACAGUGACUGGAAACUUUCAUUUAAGACACUCAUUGAUCAGAGGAACAUUCCUGAAAAUGAGAAAAUAUUUUAUCUGCGAAGAUAUGUUAGCGGACAAGUGAAAAGUGCUCUCGACGGAUACUUCCUACUUGGAACUGAGUCUGCUUAUGUCACUGCAUGGGAGCUACUCGAAGAGAGGUACGGAAAUCCUUACACAAUAGCAAAAGCGUACAGAGACAAGCUACAAGCGUGGCCCAAAAUGUCAUCAAAGGAUAGUUUGGAACUAAGAAAUUUUGCUGAUUUCCUGCGCAGUUGUGAAGUUGCUAUGGUUCACAUCAAGUCACUGGAGAUUCUCAACGAUUGUAAUGAGAACAGAAAGAUCCUAGCAAAGUUACCAGAUUGGCUCGCAGCAAGCUGGAACCGUAAGGUCAUGGAAAUCGAAGAACAAAGUCAUCACUUCCCUACUUUCAGUCAGUUUGUUACAUUUCUAACAAGAGAAGCCAAGAUCGCCUGUAACCCUGUUACUUCGUUACAGUCACUCAAGCAAGAAGGGCAAGAUCAAUCAGACAAGCUGAAGUCUUUUAGACAGAGACGAGUUGGUGCUAAUUCACUGAAGACAAGUAUACAGGAAAAGCCACAACUCACAUGUAUCUUCUGUAAGAAGCCUAAGCAUAGUCUACACAAGUGUAGAAGUUUCAUGGAAAAACCUGUGCCAGAGAGAGUCAAGUUCAUUCAGGCAGAAAGGCUAUGUUUCGGUUGUCUCAGACCUGGCCAUCAUUCUAAGAAGUGUACAAAUCGCAGUUCAUGUGAGAAGUGUAACAAGAAACAUCCUACCUGUCUACACGAAGAUAGAGUCAAAGAAGAACGAAAGCAAGCACCAAAUAAAGCAAGUACAAGUGAAGAAGAUUCAAGUUCAAGUACUCAAGUUCAAGAAAUACAAGUGACAGCCACAACAAAUAGAGUUGCUCGUCAAGAAAGUAACACACAAACAGCUGCUAUAGUCCCCGUUUGGCUUUCAACUUCUGAACAACCCACAAAGGAAGUUCUUGUGUACGCUUUACUCGAUUCACAAAGCGACACAACAUUUGUUCUGAGUGAAAUUGCAGAUUUGCUCGACACAAAUAAAGAACCUGUCAAGUUAGAACUGUCUACUAUGUCUUCAAUAAACACAAUUGUUCAGUCUCACAGACUGCAAGAUCUUCAAGUUCGAGGUUUCAACUUAAGCAAGAGCAUUCCUCUACCUCCAAUAUUCACGAGAGAGUUUAUUCCAGCCAACAAAUCUCACAUUCCAACCAACGAAACAGCUAAAGCUUGGUCGCAUUUGGAGCACCUACAAACAGAAAUCACUCCUCUGCAAAAUUGUGAAAUAGGAAUGCUGAUUGGAUACAACUGCUCACAAGCCCUCCUUCCAAGAGAAAUCGUGUCAGGUGAAGAAAAUGAGCCAUUUGCUCAGCGCACUGAUUUGGGAUGGAGCAUUGUCGAACUUAGUAAUCCCUGUCUCGACUACGGAGAUGCUAUCGGGAUCAGCCAUCGGAUCAUCGUAAAGAAAGUCAUUCCCAAGCUCGAGCCUGCCAUCAAGCUUCAGAAGGAGGUCCAUUACGUCAGUAGGACAAAAGUAAAAGAUGUCACUAUGGCAAACAUUGUUAAAGCACUGGAAGCAGACUUCUCAGAAAGGAGUCUAGACAAUAAUCCUAUAUCUCAAGAUGAUUUGAAGUUCCUCUCGAAACUUGAAAACAACAUCAAGCAAAACGAAAGCGGUCAUUUUGAGAUGCCUCUACCGUUUCGUGAUGAAAGACCUAAGUUACCAGACAACAAAGCAUGUGCAACACAUCGUCUGAAGUGCUUAGAAAAGAAGUUAAGAAAAGACAAAACAUACUACAGUGACUACACAAAUUUCAUGAAUGACAUUAUUUCAAGAGGUGACGCCGAAAAGGUUCCGGAGAAAGACUUGGACAACACCCCAACAUGGUACAUCCCACACCAUGGAGUCUAUCAUCCGCACAAACCAGGGAAAAUCAGAGUAGUAUUUGAUGCUUCUGCCAAGUACCAAGACAUCUCCCUCAACGAACAUCUGUUGACCGGUCCUGAUUUGACAAACACUUUGGUGGGCGUUCUUUGUCGGUUUCGCAAGGGUUCUAUUGCAUUCACCUGUGAUAUAGAAAGAAUGUUUCAUCAAUUCCACGUGGCAAGAGAAGAUCAGGAUUAUUUAAGGUUUCUUUGGUGGGAGAAGGGAGAUUUGGACACGACACCAUCAGUCUACCGUAUGAAGGUCCACCUCUUUGGAGCAGCGUCUUCUCCAGGCUGCGCCAACUUUGGUCUAAAACAUCUUGCAGCUCAAGGUCAAGGUCAGUUCAAAGAUAAUGUCAUUCGUUUCAUCCAAAGAAACUUUUAUGUUGAUGACGGCCUGGCAAGUGUUUCUUCUGAAAGUGAAGCCAUUCAACUGAUUAAAGACUCAAGAGAACUAUGUUCUACUGGAAAACUAAGACUCCACAAGUUUGUUUGCAACAAGGAAAGUGUGAUGUCAACCAUUCCGGAAGAAGAGUGUGCCACAGUGAAGGAUCUGGAUAUGUCUCUAAGCCUGCCACACACUGAAAAGACACUUGGAGUGGAAUGGUGCGUUACUUCAGAUGCUUUCAAAUUCCGAGUUCAAGUGAAAUCAAGCUCACUUACCCGAAGAGGCGUGCUUUCCACUGUAGCGUCAGUUUACGAUCCCUUAGGCUUCAUUGCACCCUUUGUACUCCUUGGGAAACAGAUUCUCCAGCGGAUGUGCAGAGAAAGAGUGGAUUGGGAUCAAGACCUGCCAGAACAUUUAAAGCCACAAUGGGAGUCCUGGAUCAGAGACCUAUCAAGUUUAGCUGACGUACAGAUUUCAAGAUGUUUCGUGCCACCAAAUUUUGGAGAAGUCAAGAAAUACGAACUACAUCACUUCUCAGAUGCCAGCGUCACUGGAUAUGGUAUGUGUUCGUAUCUUCGAAUCAUCAACCAAUCAGAUCAAGUCCAUUGUUGCUUAGUAAUCGCAAAGUCAAGAGUCGCACCCACGAGUGUCACGACCAUACCAAGACUGGAGCUCACAGCAGCAGUGAUUGCAGUUAGAGUCAGUGAUCUCCUCAAGACAGAACUUGAAAUUUCAAACGUUCAAGAGUUUUUCUGGACAGACUCAACAGUGGUUCUUGGCUAUGUAAACAAUGACGCCAGAAGAUUUCAAGUCUUCGUAGCCAACCGCAUUCAAAGAAUCAAGUCGAGUACAACAUCAGAGCAGUGGGCGUAUGUUGCAUCGGAACAAAACCCUGCCGACUACGCUUCGCGAGGUUUAAAAGCGGAACAACUCAAGUCCUCGAACUGGUUCAAGGGACCAGCGUUUCUCUGGCAAAGAAAUCUACCAGAUAGAGACAUCAAGGUGGGAGAAAUUAAGGAAAACGAUCCAGAACUUCGCAAAGUGUUUGUCUGCUCUACAAGCUCAAAAGAAGAUUCAUCCAUUCUCAGAAGAUUUGAGAAGUUUUCAGAAUGGUCCAAAUUAAUCAAGGCGCUAGCAAUCUUGAGACGGAAAGUAAAGCAACUCAAAGGAGAAGGAAAAAAGACAAUAGAAAGUACCAGUUUGGAAGAGAGAAAGGAAACUGAAUCGUUUGUCGUCAAACUUGUACAACAGAAAGCCUUCUCAGAAGAGAUAAAGUUUCUGCAAACAAAGAAAACAGUUCCCAAGACAAAGAAUAGCAAGCUCUACAGACUAAGCCCAUUUGUAGACAAAGAAGGAAUCCUCAGAGUAGGAGGUCGUUUGAGUCAAGCUGUGCUACAUCCAAACGUGAAGCAUCCAGUAAUACUCCCCAAAGACAGCCAUAUAUCUGGUUUACUUAUUCGUCAUUUCCAUUUAAAAGUUCAACACCAAGGCCGUGGAAUGACACUAAAUGAGCUACGUGCCAACGGCUGGUGGAUUCUUGGAUGCAGCCGUGCAGUUUCUUCUCACAUCUACAAAUGUGUUAAGUGCCGCAAGUACAGAAGGAAAAGUGAAUUUCAAAAGAUGGGAGAUUUACCAGUGGACCGAACAGAGCCAACUCCUCCUUUCACGUAUGUUGGAAUGGACUGUUUUGGACCGAUUUAUGUUAAAGAGGGACGCAAAGAGCUCAAGAAAUAUGGUCUCAUUCUAACUUGUUUGUGUUCACGUGCCAUCCACAUCGAAGUAGUAGACGACCUGAGUGCAGAUGCAUUUCUCAAUGCUUUGCGGGCGUUUAUUGCAAUAAGAGGAAAUGUUCGACAGUUAAGAUGUGACAAAGGAACCAAUUUUGUUGGUGCCCAAAGAGAGUUCGCAAGUCUUCUAAAGGGAAUGAAUCAAGAGAAAAUGAAAGUUUUUGGAUGUGAAUUUCUCAUGAAUCCCCCAUCAGCAAGCCACAUGGGUGGGAUAUGGGAAAGGCAGAUAAGAACAAUUCGGAGUGUUCUUUCAGCAAUCCUUGACCAAUCUGCAAAGAGACUCGACUGUACAUCUUUAAGAACUCUUUUGUACGAAGUCAUGGCGAUUGUAAACAGCAGGCCUCUGUCUGUAGAACAUUUGAAUGAUCCAAACGGACCUGAACCUUUGACACCAAACCACAUUCUAACUAUGAAGUCAACAAUCAUUCAACCUCCACCAGGACAGUUUAUAAAGGAAGACUUGUACCUUCAAAAGAGAUGGAGAAGGGUACAAUACUUGAGCAAUGAAUUUUGGAUUCGCUGGAGGAAGGAAUAUUUGCUCAACUUGCAACCAAGACAGAAGUGGAAUACCAACAAAAGAGACCUGAAGAUCAACGACGUAGUGCUUCUACAAGAAGAACUUGCACCACGCAACGAAUGGAAGCUAGCCAAAGUUACAGAAGUCUACUCAGGUGUAGAUAGUAAAGUGAGAAAGGUUAGACUUUUGGUUAGUGAAAGAACUCAGGAUAAGAAUGGAAAGGUCACUAUUAAGACAACUCACCUUGAGAGACCUAUUCAUAAAGUUAUCGUUUUAGUUGAAGCAGAGUAAAGUUAUAAGUUAUUUAUUAACUCUGUGUCAGUUUAUUUAGGUAUAAGUUAAAUCUCACAGAAUUAAUGAGAUUUGGUGGGAGUGUAACUGCCACAUUGUAUUAUGUUGAUUUCAGGACAUUUUACUGUUUUGUGUAGUUUCAAUUUGUGCCAGUAGGAGGCGCGCUCGCACUUGUGUGUACAUGGAGCAAGGUUAUAGUGAGAGAAGAAGCGAUCUCAGCAGAGAGGGAAAGGCCUCAAGCUGUUAGCACAAGCAAAGAAAGCUAACUAGCGGAGUUAAUGGAAGAAAACCAAAGCGAAUUUCCUCAGUCGGUACUCAGCCAACGAGUUUUCACGGUGUGUGUUUGCAUUCUCAACAAGAGAGAAUCAAAUAAAUUCAUCAGUUGAGGAAACCACUUGUGCCUGUAGUACUUGAGGGAGUUACAAAAGGGCUGCCAAAAACAACGCUGCUGGGUAGAAGUCACAGGCCUAGCCAAAUUAUGAAAAAAAAGUGUGACUAAUAGUCCAGAAAAUACUGAAAACAUCCCUGGAAAGUUAUUGAAUUAACCAGAGAGUAUUUCACCCGGGAGUUGAAACACCACUAUCAAGGUUACAACACCACUGAUGUCUUCACCUCUAC